rnacentral:rRNA from 1 species
AGAACGACGCUGGCGGCAGGCUUAACACAUGCAAGUCGAGCGCACCUUCGGGUGAGCGGCGGACGGGUGAGUAACGCGUGGGAACGUACCUUUCUCUACGGAAUAGCCGUCGGGAAACUGAGAGUAACACCGUAUACGCCCGUUCGGGGGAAAGAUUUAUCGGAGAGAGAUCGGCCCGCGUCUGAUUAGGUAGUUGGUGGGUAAUGGCCCACCAAGCCGACGAUCAGUAGCUUGGUUUGAGAGGAUGAUCAGCCACACGUGGGACUGAGACACCGGCCCAGACUCCGUACGGGAGGCAGCAGGUGGGGAAUCUUGGACAAGUGGGGAAACCCUGAUCCAGCCAUGCCGCGUGAGUGAUGAAGGCCCUAGGGUCGUAAAACUCUUUCGCUGGGGAAGAUAAUGACGGUACCCAGUAAAGAAACCCCGGCUAACUCCGUG